GACGAACCGUGCGAACGUUUAUUCGGAAUCACUGGGCUUAAAGCGCGUGUAGGCGGGACGGCACGUCGGUCGCUGAAAUCCCCCGGCUCAACCGGGGAACGGGCGCCGAUACGACCCGCCCUGGAGGGACGUAGGGGGACCUGGAACUUCCGGUGGAGCGGUGAAAUGCGUUGAGAUCGGAAGGAACGCCCGUGGCGAAAGCGAGGUCCUGGACGUUUUCUGACGCUGAGACGCGAAAGCCAGGGGAGCGAACGGG
rnacentral:rRNA from 1 species